UGGUAGUUUUGAUGGCGAUCUGGAAAAAUUGCGACAACGUCAUCAAGGCCUGUGUAGAUUGACCGAAAUAUUAGACGAAUCGUUUAUGGCCAUUAUUGCUAUUGUGUAUGUGGCCAAUGUACCGAUGUCGUGUGUUAUCUUAUAUAACAUCAUAUACCACACACAUUCUACUUCACUGAAUCUAUUUAAUAUCUUCUGGAUGGUGUCUUUAGCCCUUCACAUGUCUGUCGUCUCGUUAGUCUGUGCUCGAGUUAAUGUGGCGGCUCACAAACCACUGGAUGAGCUGUAUAAUAUAUCAGCUGACAGUUUGAACAAUCAACAAAUACAGUUGAUGAUGUUUAUGAAUCGUCUAGCCGGAGGUGAGGUUGGAUUAACCGCUAUUAAAAUGUUUGUGAUCAACAGACCUACCAUUUUAACGGUAAUUGGAAUGUUG